GGAUGGCAUUUUGUAUUGAUACAUAAGAUUAUAGAAUAAUCUUCCGCAAUAUCACAUGUCAAGUUUUAUUUUUUAUUUUUAAUAUUUUUAAAUAAAAAAUAUAAAUAUAAAUAAUAUGAUAAAAAAAUUAUUCUAUAUAAUAAAAAAUUUAUUCUAUAUAUUAAUAGUAAAAUAAUAUACAGAUAUUAGGAGCGGCAUUCCAUGUCGGCA
rnacentral:lncRNA from 1 species